rnacentral:rRNA from 1 species
UGAGGAAUAUUGGACAAUGGGCGAAAGCCUGAUCCAGCCAUGCCGCGUGUGUGAAGAAGGUCUUCGGAUUGUAAAGCACUUUAAGUUGGGAGGAAGGGCAUUAACCUAAUACGUUAGUGUUUUGACGUUACCGACAGAAUAAGCACCGGCUAACUCCGUGC